GGGUCUUCACAUUCAGUGAGAUAACUCACAUAAAUCCGAAGGCUUUUUCAGCAUCACAUGUUGUUCGAGUAUUAUCACUAUAAAUGUGAUCCACGUUCAUUACUGACUGCUCUGCUUCUAGAUCUUGCAUUUGGCUAUGCUUUCCCAGAGACUACGAAGGAAAAAACGUUCGCUGGCUCUAAGAAGAAAAGACAAUACUUUUGUUUUUCUACCAUUUGCUCAUCUGGUCUGCCUGUGGACUCCUUGAAGACAGAGAACUGACUCUUAUCAGGUAAUGACCAUCAAAGAAGGUAGCCAAGGGCUAUGAAAACCAUCAGAACAAAUGAAGCUUUAUGCCAAGGAUCAAAGAUCUUUUGCUGUCAUCUGUUAAAAAGAUAUUGUAUCUGUCUGUGACUUUGGCAACCCAUUCUGCAAAAGGAUGCAAGUAUGUGCUGGCCCAACUUAAUUUUGCUCUUUGCAUGUGUUUUUGAUGCCUUCACAUAGGCCUCUGUGCUGAAUAUAUAAAAAACAAAAUCCAGGCUGAUAUCAUCAUCUACGACUAUGUUUAGCGGACAUGAAAUAAACUGUUAGAAAAGAGGUCCUUAACUACUGCCUCCCAUCUUACCUAUCCCAUGGCUUAAUUACAAACAAGCUGAUCACACAGUAGGAAACGAUCAGCUCCCUAUUUUCAAACAAUUCCCAAACUGUUGAUUUCAAGAGUUCUAAGAUAGGGAGUAUCUAGCAAACUUAAAAAAGAUUAACUGGUAAAGCCCUUUGAUCAGUAGGUAACAUACACUGAUCCUUUUAAUGUUUGUCUGCAGCACAUAAAUAAUAUUGGGAAACCAGAAGUCCUUGAGACAGCUGUUUACACUGGCAGAAAACACUUUGCUGUGUGGCUGAUAUCUGUGCAAAUACUGCAAUUUGAGUGGAAUAGUUUCAGACUAAGAUCAUUUAAAUAAAGGAUGGGAGGUGAAGGCCAAGGAGCCUGAUGCUGUGGGUUUUGGAAAUACUCUCUUAACUUUUUGGGCGUAUGAUAAAUAACUGUAUGAAACAACCUCUGUUUUAUGAGACUAAAUUUGUCUGCAUAUGUCACUGUCAGCCCUACUGUCCUACCCGAGGCUGGUUUUCAGAAUGUGGAACGAGGCAUUAACCAUGCUGCCGAAGGGGCGUCAACUGGAGGAGUCACCUUCAUACGGCACUUCCAUAGUCUUUUGGGGUUUUCAUAAUAAAUGCUGAAAACAGUCAGGAUCUAUUACUAGAUAUUAGGAUCUCUCUAUAUAAAGCCUUUUAUCACCAUACCAACUAUUUGCUCAAAAAAAAAUUUU